rnacentral:rRNA from 1 species
UACGUAGGGUGCAAGCGUUGUCCGGAAUUACUGGGCGUAAAGGGCUCGUAGGUGGCCAACUAAGUCAGACGUGAAAUCCCUCGGCUUAACCGGGGAACUGCGUCUGAUACUGGAUGGCUUGAGUUCGGGAGAGGGAUGCGGAAUUCCAGGUGUAGCGGUGAAAUGCGUAGAUAUCUGGAGGAACACCGGUGGCGAAGGCGGCAUCCUGGACCGACACUGACACUGAGGAGCGAAAGCCAGGGGAGCAAACGGG